rnacentral:rRNA from 1 species
UGGGGAAUUUUGGACAAUGGGCGAAAGCCUGAUCCAGCAAUGCCGCGUGUGUGAAGAAGGCCUUCGGGUUGUAAAGCACUUUUGUCCGGAAAGAAAUCCUUGGCUCUAAUACAGUCGGGGGAUGACGGUACCGGAAGAAUAAGCACCGGCUAACUACGUGCCAGCAGCCGCGGUAAUACGUAGGGUGCAAGCGUUAAUCGGAAUUACUGGGCGUAAAGCGUGCGCAGGCGGUUUGCUAAGACCGAUGUGAAAUCCCCGGGCUCAACCUGGGAACUGCAUUGGUGACUGGCAGGCUAGAGUAUGGCAGAGGGGGGUAGAAUUCCACGUGUAGCAGUGAAAUGCGUAGAGAUGUGGAGGAAUACCGAUGGCGAAGGCAGCCCCCUGGGCCAAUACUGACGCUCAUGCACGAAAGCGUGGGGAGCAAACAGGAUUAGAUACCCUGGUAGUCCACGCCCUAAACGAUGUCAACUAGUUGUUGGGGAUUCAUUUCCUUAGUAACGUAGCUAACGCGUGAAGUUGACCGCCUGGGGAGUACGGUCGCAAGAUUAAACUUAAAUGAAUUGACGGGGUCAUAGCUGUUU